AGAUGUGAGGGUGAUCUGGCUGCGACAUCUGUCACCCCAUUGAUCGCCAGGGUUGAUUUGGCUGAUCUGGCUGGCUGGGCAGGUAUCCCCUUCCUCCCUCACCUUCUCCAUGUGUGUCCCUCCCCAAGCUGCGCACUUGAUCAAAGAGGACAGCCUUCCCGGAAUAGAGACAGACCGAUCUUCAGUUCAGGGUAUAUGAGUAGCUGCGCUCCCCUGCUAGAACCUCCAACCAAGCUCUCAAGGUCCUUUUUGGUCUCCCCACCACCUUGUAGCAGAGCUAGUAAUUGCCAUAUGCCAAGCAUUUUAU
rnacentral:snRNA from 1 species